AUGGGACCGGUCUGACCGGUGCGCCCAGUAAAUCUGGGAAAUCCUCCAAAAUCAAGACAAUGCCGAGUUUUAAGGAACUUUUGGCCAAAUAUGAGAAGGAAAGGAGUGCUCAGAGACAUAAGGGGCCACCAAGCGAAGUCAAGGAUACGGGAUCAUCGUCAAGACAUCAAGAGCAAUCGAGUCAAGCAAAGAGAAUGAGAAGAGCAAGGAGCAAGAUUCAAAGUAUUUACAGCCGAGGUGGUGUCCCUCAGGCUUGUCUCAUACUCAGAAGCGAAGGCUGCAACGUAUGCGCAAGAAGGAGGCAGUGGAACAACAAGUGGAGGCCGUGCCAAAGACGUCAGCGACAAUGAAAAAGGUGUGGCGGCCCAAACAAUUUGUUUCAACAUCGACUUGAGCAAAAUAUGGCCGAUAAUUGUUUAUUGUCUUUAGUACAAAAAAUGGCCGAUGUAGUGUUAAUCAUCGCCCUUAG